UACGAAGGGGGCUAGCGUUGCUCGGAAUCACUGGGCGUAAAGGGUACGUAGGCGGGUCUUUAAGUCAGGGGUGAAAUCCUGGAGCUCAACUCCAGAACUGCCUUUGAUACUGAGGAUCUUGAGUUCGGGAGAGGUGAGUGGAACUGCGAGUGUAGAGGUGAAAUUCGUAGAUAUUCGCAAGAACACCAGUGGCGAAGGCGGCUCACUGGCCCGAUACUGACGCUGAGGCACGAAAGCGUGGGGAGCAAACAGG
rnacentral:rRNA from 1 species